AACAUACCUGAACUCAGAAUCGUCUAUAAUGUACCACUUCUUUAAAACAUAAGCGAUCAAUAUGUUUCAAUUAUGGUCCUCUUCCAGUUAGAAUAUGACUAUAGUACCUUGACCUUAUUGAAUAUGAACAAUUUCCCCAUGGUGGCUUACUUUAUACUAUCAAGAACUUGAAUAGUCGAGCGCGCUGUCUUCUGACAACUCUUGUAGUUUUUCUCAUCGACAUUUCCAUUUUAACAUUUAGUAGCCAAAAGGGGCCAAGUCCCCUUGAUCUCGCAAGAACGUACUGCCAGAAUUACGUUGAUCCACCAGGUUUUGAAGUAAAAACCGUAGAUGAUGUCAUAGCAUUGACGCUACCAACGAUAUAUUUCAUGAGGGUCGAAUGAUAAAUGAUGCCGAAAAUGGAGACGCAAAACAAAAUUGUGUAAUGAAAAUAGUUGAAGUCAACCAAACUCCCCAUCUAUGCACUAUCGCCGACAGAGACAUUGCAAUUGGCGAGGAACUCCGAUAUGAUUAUGGAGUACCAACACUUCCAUGGAAAAAGGCAACACAAUGACUACUAGAUCUACGGACAGCCAGGAACCAGGACAAACAACAUCCAUACACACGGAAGAAGUCAAUGAGACGGUUUGUAAUAUUUCGCAAGGUCGAAGCUACUAAGGCGUAUUUUCUGAAAUGCACGGAACAAAAAAGGGCAACACAAUGACUACUAGAUCUACGGACAGCCAGGAACCAGGAAAAACAACAUCCGUACACACGGAAGAAGUCGAUGAGACGUAUAAGACUUAUACGCUGCCACAAAUUGACAAAUGACGAUGGAGAAUAAGAUGGAUGUUUAACAAAACUGGAAAAAGACCUGUGCCGUUAUUUUUACCGUACAGAGAUUAUUGCAAAACGAGGUCGAAUAUCUGCAGUACUGUUUCUAAGGCAGGUGAAAGAAAAUAUCGACCUCCUGAUACGCAGCAGAAA